rnacentral:rRNA from 1 species
UACGGAGGGUUCAAGCGUUAUCCGGAAUCAUUGGGUUUAAAGGGUCCGUAGGCGGUUUUGUAAGUCAGUGGUGAAAGCCCAUCGCUCAACGGUGGAACGGCCAUUGAUACUGCAAGACUUGAAUUAUUGUGAAGUAACUAGAAUAUGUAGUGUAGCGGUGAAAUGCUUAGAGAUUACAUGGAAUACCAAUUGCGAAGGCAGGUUACUAACAAUAUAUUGACGCUGAUGGACGAAAGCGCGGGUAGCGAACAGG